rnacentral:misc_RNA from 1 species
UUGAUUUUGAACUUCUGGCAUCAUUGUUGGACUUACUAGAUUUUGUGAGGUCAAGAGUAAUGGUCGGUCCAGAUGAGCCCAGUGAGGCUGAGCAGGGUACUGAACCAAUGGUGAGACUACGAGUUGCAGCUGAUGUUGCCUCCAUUUGUGAGGGAUGUGGAUGAUUGUGCUCCCCUUCAUAAGUUGCCACUAGAACAGAUUGAUCUUCAAUGCUUCUUUGAACCUUCUUUUUGACAGGGCAGCUAGGAGCAAAAGAGCAUUUGAAGUAAGCUCUUGGAGAAGGAUUAUCUCUUGUGACCUUUUGGCCAUAUUUUCUCCAUUGAUAUCCAUCCUUGACAACUAGGCUUGUAUCGUUUGCUUCUGUCCUCACAUAAGCCCUGGAAAUCUUUGCUUUGAUUACUUCUUCUCUUGAUUUCUUGCAUGAUUCUUCAUCAGUUGAGCUGCUCUCAGAAAUCCCAUUCAUUGCAAUUGUAUUAUCAUUAUUGUUGUUGCUGCUUUCAGAUUUCCUUUUUCUUGAUGGGCUAAGCUCCUUGUCUUGAUUCUUGCUCAUGAAAUCCAUUAACUGGCUUCUCAAAGCAUUGUAGUUUUCGCACAUCACAGAUAGCAUUUCUGUGAGCUUCUUGUUUUCUGCGCUCACUCGGUUCAAUUCCUCCACCAAAGCUCCAGUCUCGUCUUUCACUGAAACCUUCCUCCCCAACUCCAUAAAAUUGCUUUGCCCUUCUUUGGCCAAGCCUACCCUUGCUUGUACAGGGACAUCAUCAUCAUUAGAACGUCGAGGAUUAAUAUUAAGAUCCAAAGAAGUGUCUACCCAUGAAGAAGAAUAAUCCAUAGCCGCCGAAGUCGAAGUAGUCUUCAUUCUCACUGAUCUUGAAGCAAAACCCAAACAAAAUUCCUUUUCUUUUAUCCUCUCGAACCUAGUAGUNNNNNNNNNNNGCAAAUGAAGAAAGGAUAUAUAUAGAGAUCUAGCAGAAAGCAAGCUGAAGCUGUCUACUCGUUUAGGAGAAGAAAGAAGGUGGAAAAUUAGAUAAGAUAUUGA